rnacentral:lncRNA from 1 species
CUGAGAGCUGGCCGGGGAGAGGGCGGCCGGUUCCCUCAGGAGGGGGCAGGGGCGGGCAGGGGCACCCCUCCUCCUGCAGCCCCACGAGCCUCCCCGUGGCAGGUCCCCGGCCGGCUCCUCCCUUCUCAGACCCCACUUCAGGCGUCUUUGCCGCCGUCCCUUCCGCGUUCGCCACCCGUGUGUUUGGGGCACUUAGUGAUUCACAAACACUUUCAUGCCUGUGCCCGCCUCACACUCCGCGGGGCAAGGCUUCGGCCCGGUCCAGGCCCGGUGCCCCCGACGGCCCGCCGUCCAGCAGCCCUGGGGCGACGCAAAGCGCGCGUGAUCAGGACGGGGGGCGCAGCACGGGGAGGGCGCAGGGGCCUGGCAGGGGCUCCCCGAGUGGCCCUUGGGGCCUUCCCCAGCCAGGGGACCGGGCGGAGCUGGCUGCUGGGAGCCCAGGGAGUGGGGUGCAGAGCUCGGGCGGGGUGCGGGGGAGGCUCCGAUCCGCAGCAGUGGGCCCUGCGCAGGCCCAAGAGGGGACAGACCCCGGAUGACAGGAUGUCAGGGGCAGCCGGCGGCGUGAGGUGCCACAGCAGGAGGCCGGAGCGGCCCUUCCGUCCUGCUCGCCCGACAGCCCCUCAGGGCGGGCGGCACAGCCGCGGCUUUGCUCCAGGUGCCCGGGCUCUGCUGGGGGGCAGGGAGCGAAGGGCUCUGGGUGCGUGGGGCGCAGCCGGGUCAGCGGAGACAGAACUGCCCGUGUCCGGGGCGCUGGCCCUCACCCCGCCUGGCCUCCAGCAACCGGCCGGAGGUCCUGGAGGUCACGCCCUGCAGGCGAAGUCCUGUACGCGGGCUCAGCCGGUGGCGCUGGCCCUGGAUGCCAACCGCGCCCUCGAGGCCGCAGUGCCACCCGCGCCGUCCCAAGGCCGGUUUCUGCUCCGCUCCCUGAAUUCGAAGCUUAAGUGCCUUCAGAGUGCUUGGUUUUACUGCCCUGGAGGCAGGGCCCGAGUCCCCGGCAGGUCCCGGGCACCUGCAGGUGCCAGGGAGGCCCUGCCUGAGGGGGCGACACCCUGGUGA